CCUAACACAUGCAAGUCGAACGGUAACAGGAAGAAGCUUGCUUCUUUGCUGACGAGUGGCGGACGGGUGAGUAAUGUCUGGGAAACUGCCUGAUGGAGGGGGAUAACUACUGGAAACGGUAGCUAAUACCGCAUAACGUCGCAAAACCAAAGAGGGGGACCUUCGGGCCUCUUGCCAUCGGAUGUGCCCAGAUGGGAUUAGCUAGUAGGUGGGGUAACGGCUCACCUAGGCGACGAUCCCUAGCUGGUCUGAGAGGAUGACCAGCCACACUGGAACUGAGACACGGUCCAGACUCCUACGGGAGGCAGCAGUGGGGAAUAUUGCAC
rnacentral:rRNA from 1 species